GAGAAACACAGUAAGAGUGAAAGUGCCUAUGAGCGUUUGCGGGGUGUAGGGGCGACGGUUCGCGACUGAAACUCAAGCAAAACUCUGAACUUCUGCUUCAGUUUCGGUUUAAUUAAAGAAAUGAAGCGACUGGUUACUGUUUGUCUCACGUGAGGUCAAGGCACGACCUCUCCGCCUUCACAUGCUCCACAUCUCUGCGACAAGUUGAACCCUGGAGGUGUCAAAGUACAACUGUUUAUCCCACACUGUCAGCCGCUGCCAGUGCAGAUGAAGAACUCAACGAACUGACUAAACUCCAUGAAUCAUGUCGGGCACCAUCCCUGCAUUCAGAGCGAGUGUAGACUCUCAUAAAUUUAAGAUUUGGAGCCAGCGGCUCCCCCUGGUAUGUCGACAUGUCAGAGGUCAUGAUGGAGCAGCUAACGUAGCUGCCGUCUGUUAGCUGCUCAGUGAAGUCCUGAUGAAGAUCCACUUAAAAUCCAAAGACUGACUGAUACUGGACUGGAGGGACAUGAUAUCUUUGUUGAAUUUUUUGUGGCAAAAACUGCAUCUAACAAUGUUAGUUUAAUUAACUGAACAGUUUCCUACCAUUUCUCCAU